CAUAGUGAGCCCAGGAUAUGGGUAAGCAUUCUAUCUAUUCUCUUUUGGUAUAACAACUACUUAGCCAAACUCUCUGGUAUAAUUCAUAAUUAUAAUAUCUGUACAUUCAUUGAUUAUACAACUAGAAAUUGCCCUUGACUGUAAUUAUGCCACUUAAGAGGGCGAGCUGUGCUAAGCUUCGGGUUUGUGCUCUGUGUUUUGGUGUUGGGAACUCCAUUUUAACAAGAUCACGGCAGGGGACGAAAUUGGUAUUCUAAAACCUUGCCUGUACAGAUUCCUUUAGCAUCAACUGUACUGCUCAGCAAGCAGUGGGCUUGGGUCUAUUUCCCUGUUUUCCAUAAAACCCCGCUGGCUGCCCGGAAUCAUGUCCACUUCCAGCCUGCGUCGAGUCCCUGAGCAGCUAUUGUGUUGCUUUUCCCCAGCUUGAAACCAGGGUUUUGAGCCUUUGUUAAUCAAAUCUUCCUGCACCUUGUCCAGCUAAGCCUCUGUGUCAAGCAAUUAAAGCAGUGUGCCAUCAGCUUCUGAGUGUUUGUUACAAGGCUGUGACAGAAAAGCUCCCCACUUACCUGUUCCCAGCCUGGCUUGCAAUCCCUCAUCACAGCCUGGAAGAGAGAAACAGCUGCAGCUGCCAGCUGAAAAAGAAGAAAGAUCUGCAUCAGGUUGGUUGUGUUUCCAGUUACAAUCAGAUCAGAACAAAAGACUUUGUCCUGCUUUAAAUGCUGUGUUGGCUCUCGCUGCUUGGAAGGUGACAGUCCUGGUAGCUGUCUUCUCCUCUCUGUUAGGAGCAUUGCAGGGCCAGGCAGGAGCAUGACUUAGGCAUCGUGUCCUCUGACGUGGGUGAAACCUUCCCGCAGUAUUUGUGAGGACCCUGGGAGCACAUGAGGCUUUAUACUCUUUUUUUUCUUCUUGUAACACUAAAGCUGUGCUUGCUUUUGUGUUUACAGUUCAGACUGUACCCCAGGCUGAGGGAGCAGUGAAUUGCCCCAAGAUCUUUUCUCUCCAGCAGCAAUAAACCCUGAGAAGCGCAAUGCUAGCAGUCUUCCCUGUGCCUAUUCCCAGGGAAGCUCUCCUCCCCACGACCUGGACCUCCUGGUAAAGCAGAGCUUUGGGUUUGGCGCCACUUCAGGUUGUUUUGAGGUUAUUUUGGGAUCUUUUAGUGCCGUUUUGGGAUUGUUUCAGUGUCAUUUUGGUGCCAUUUGGAGCUAGACUGUCUGCGGGCAGUUCGGACAUCAUUUGGGCCUUUUGGGGGCUGCUUUGGUGCCAUUUUAGGCUGUACUGUGGGCUCUUUUGGGGUGACAGUGUAGAUAAAAGCGCAGCGGCUGGCGGUGAGGCGGCCCUGACGCUCCGUGUGUCCCGCCGCACCACGACGCCCUGUGACUCCGCGCGACGCCCUGAGUGGACGCGGAGGGCGGGAAAGCAGCAGGCAGGGGCAGCUCGAGGAGGGGGCGUGGCUUGAAGAGUCCCCGCCCCCCCCGCUCAGUAUAAAUGGAAGCGGCGGCGCCGGCCGCUCUAAGCGGGAGCGUGUCCCGCCUGGGCGGUCAUGGUGGCGGUGCGCUGCGUCCUGCUGCUGCUGUGCGGCGCUGUGCUGGGGCGCGCCGUGCACCUCGACUUCGCCGAGCACCGCAGCCAGGCGGCCAAGAUCAAGGUGAACCCCCGCGGCAACCUGUGGGCCACAGGUCACUUCAUGGGGAAGAAGAGCGUGCCGGGCACCCCGCGAAUGGAUGAACUGCCGCAGCCGGCGGCACCGAUGUCUUUCGGCCCCUCGCUCAGAGCUUUGCUGGAGGACGUGGUGGAACUGCUUACCCGGGAGCUCCUGAAAAUCCUCUUGCAAGAAAGACUUUUGGAUCAGAACCAAAGAAAAUACGAUCUCGCUGACCAGAUUUAGGUAAACUGAGGAUCUGCUAGCAAGCUAAUCCCCUUGGGACAGAAGAUACAGCUGGAGAUGGAGCCAGAGCUAGAACCCAGUGCUGGACAUCAGUCUUUGGAGACUGGGCUUUUAACAAAGGUGCUGGAGAAGUAUUUCUCAAACUGAAGAAGCGCAGCAGUGAAGGAUGAGGUCAGCAGGCUAAGCUGUGCAUGGCAAAUGGAGGAGAGCAUCAUCCUUGUGGGUUACUGUAGCAACAUCACAUUUAUUCUUUCUGUAAUACUGUUAAUAGUGAUUGCUUGUAUGAAAAGCAGAUCCUCCCUGUAUAUUUCCUGUAUGUUUUCUGCUUCCUUGUUGUCUGAUGUGCCCCUGUGAAUAAAACCAGCUCUUUGCAGAUGCUA